rnacentral:tRNA from 1 species
GGGGCCUUAGCUCAGUUGGGAGAGCGUCGCAAUGGCAUUGCGAAGGUCAGCGGUUCGAACCCGCUAGGCUCCACCA